CCUACGGGAGGCAGCAGUGAGGAAUAUUGGUCAAUGGACGAGAGUCUGAACCAGCCAAGUAGCGUGAAGGAUGACUGCCCUAUGGGUUGUAAACUUCUUUUAUAAAGGAAUAAAACGAGGCACGUGUGCCUUUUUGCAUGUACUUUAUGAAUAAGGAUCGGCUAACUCCGUGCCAGCAGCCGCGGUAAUACGGAGGAUCCGAGCGUUCUCCGGAUUUAUUGGGUUUAAAGGGAGCGUAGAUGGGUUGUUAAGUCAGUUGUGAAAGUUUGCGGCUCAACUGUAGAAUUGCAAUUGAUACUGGCAGUCUAGAGUACAGUUGAGGUAGGCGGAAUGCGUGGUGUAGCGGUGAAAUGCUUAGAUAUCACGAAGAACCCCGAUUGCGAAGGCAGCUUACUAAACUGUGACUGACAUUGAUGCUCGAAAGUGUGGGUAUCAAACAGGAUUAGAUACCCUUGUAGUC
rnacentral:rRNA from 1 species